ensembl:lncRNA
AAUACUUUGAAAUGGCUGCUGCAGCCAAUGAUGCGAUUCACAUACGUUUUUUAUAUGACUGUAUAUAAUGGUAUUUACGCAGCUGAUCAACGUCACGCGUCCUUAUGUGUAGCCAUCGUUGUUCUCAUAGAUAUGAAUGAGUAGAUAGGACACGCCCCUUUGAGCUGCGUGCUACAGCGAGGCUAAGCUAGUGGGGGAAAAGUUUCAGUGCAUUCUGUUGAUGUAGACGGCGUGAAAACGGAAACAACAAGUAUGCCGGCUCACUGUGCUGCAUACAGUUAUACACUACGUCGUACGACUGAGACAAGGAAACUUGGAAUGACUUUUCAUAGGUUUCCCAGAGACUAUGGGUUGAGGAGGAAGUGGAAGUUUGUCGGCUUAGACCUGGUGUCAUUCCAUCAGUGUUAAACUUCCCGGCUCAUCUUGGAAGAGUAAGUGCCAGAAAGACCACGACCAAGCAGCCUUGAGAUCUUAGGCAGUGUCUCCCUGAGACCAAAGAACUACAGACUCUUCACAACCUGCUCAAACUCUUGGUACAGGACCUCACCACACGGGUCAAGAAGGUUUCUGUCUCAUUUCUACUCUGAAGAUCACCUUCUCCUGCUCAAACUACUGACAAAUGUUUCUGCUGCUCUAAAGUCUGGAAUCCAGAACUUCCUAAAAACUCUCAAAGUCUCUUCUGCUGCAGGUUGCUUUGUAGAACUAUUCCAGAAAACCUCACUAAACCACAUGGAGGGGCCUCAAGAUAGUCGUCCAAAUGAAACCAUACAAAAACCAAACUAGCACAACCCAAACGCUAAAGUCUCCUGCAGCCUACCAGAGAACCUCUGAGAACAGAGAAUCAGGACAGGAACUCUUACCUUCUGGACAACCAACGCUGGUUCUCAAACAAGAAUACAGAAUGUGUCUGACCAGAAACCUCUAAAGACUCACUACAGCCAAGAUAAAGACACAACUCAGCUGUACCAAAUCCACUAAUCACUGCACACAUUAGCACCAUGUGCUAACUGUGGCUAAAGAACCACAUUUACCAAGACAACUAUCCAGUACAAAGCCCUAAAACACACCAAGAAACACAUUAAAGACGAUUUUACUGCUGGAAGCUGCAAGUCAAAGCCUAAAGAACAAACUAAAGCAAUGGAGCCAAACCAGGUUCUGUGGUGAAGAGAAGCAGAGGAAAUGUUUGUCUGCAGCUAAAUAAAGCAGGAAGACACUGAGCUGCUCAGGUGUUCCUGAUAACACCAAGCAGCCACCUGGACAGCCAAUAGGAACACAGCUUACUGGAAGUCCAGAGGGCUGGGUUAGUGAAGGAAAUUUAAUUCAAAGUUGAAGCAGAAAGUUAAUAAAGAAAGUUGAAAACCAUCUUCUGAUCCCUGAAAUCUCUGAGUUU